rnacentral:rRNA from 1 species
UACGUAGGGAGCAAGCGUUAAUCGGAAUUACUGGGCGUAAAGCGUGCGUAGGCGGUUGCGUAAGUCAGAUGUGAAAGCCCCGGGCUCAACCUGGGAAUUGCAUUUGAGACUGCGUAGCUAGGGUGCGGAAGAGGGAAGCGGAAUUUCCGGUGUAGCGGUGAAAUGCGUAGAUAUCGGAAGGAACACCAGUGGCGAAAGCGGCUUCCUGGUCCAGCACCGACGUUCAGGCACGAAAGCGUGGGGAGCAAACAGG